AUUUUCUGGUUCUCUUCUGAUCUUAUAAAUCUCUCGACUUUUUCUUGAGAUUUCUGUGGAGAGGAACAAUCAUGAGUUUUCAUGAAUUUUUGAGACUCUGCUACUUGCAGAGC